rfam:Camelus ferus unplaced genomic scaffold scaffold591, whole genome shotgun sequence.
GAGGGUAUAGCUCAAGUGGUAGAGAGCAUGCUUAGCAUGCAUAAGGUCCCGGGUUCCAUCCCUAGUACCUCCU